rnacentral:rRNA from 1 species
GCUUAGCCCUAAACCUCAGUAGUUAAACCAACAAAACUACUCGCCAGAAUACUACAAGCAACCGCUUGAAACUCAAAGGACUUGGCGGUGCUUCACCCCCCUAGAGGAGCCUGUCCCAUAAUCGAUAAACCCCGAUCCACCCUACCCUCUCUUGCUCAGCCUAUAUACCGCCAUCUUCAGCAAACCCUGAUAAAGGUCACAAAGUGAGCGCAAGUACCCCUUUUCGCAAAAACGUUAGGUCAAGGUGUAGCCUAUGAGACGGAAAAAGAUGGGCUACAUUUUCUAUCCUAGAAAACCCACGAUAACUCUCAUGAAACCUAAGAGUCCAAGGAGGAUUUAGCAGUAAAUUAAGAAUAGAGUGCUUAAUUGAACAAGGCCAUAAAGCACGC